GGGCUGGGGGGAAGCGGGAGGGACAUUAAGAGUUAAACAACUCCUAAACCCAUGUGAACCUACCUUUGUUGCCUCGGCAGGUCUGCAACCUACCCUGAGAGUCCCUACCCUGUAGGGACCUUACCCGGUAGUUGCGGGCAUAACCUGCCGGUGGUCUACCAAACUCUGUUUACUAUGUUAUUCUGAAUAAUAUAACUAAAUAAGUUAAAACUUUCAACAACGGAUCUCUUGGUUCUGGCAUCGAUGAAGAACGCAGCGAAAUGCGAUAAGUAAUGUGAAUUGCAGAAUUCAGUGAAUCAUCGAAUCUUUGAACGCACAUUGCGCCCAUUAGUAUUCUAGUGGGCAUGCCUGUUCGAGCGUCAUUUCAACCCUUAAGCCCUGUUGCUUAGCGUUGGGAGCCUACAGAUACACUCUGUAGUUCCUUAAAGUUAGUGGCGGAGUCGGUUUCACACUCUAGACGUAGUAAAUUUUAUCUCGCCUAUGGAUGAGCCGGUCCCUUGCCGUAAAACCCCCUAAUUUCUAAAGGUUGACCUCGGAUCAGGUAGGAAUACCCGCUGAACUUAAGCAUAUCACUAAGCGGAGGAAA
rnacentral:rRNA from 1 species